rnacentral:pre_miRNA from 1 species
AGGAGGAACUGCCCCAGUGGCGGGGCAGCUCUGGAAACCUGGAUUCAGCUCCGGCAGGAACUCCGUCUGCAGGGCCUGGAGGCUCCGGGGCGGG